rnacentral:rRNA from 1 species
CAUAACUCACUCAUAUGAUAUCGAAUUGAGACACACCAUAUAUGGCUGAAAAGAAGACAUCCAGAGCUUUCAAAAGAGUGGUUGUACGCAAUUUUUGGAGGUCAGGAAGAUGUCCAAAUCACAUUCGAAAUGAGGAUCACAUGCAGUUUCAUGGAGGUUUUAGGAAACUUAGUUUAAUUACCUUUUCUAGUUAGGAACUGACUUGGAAAUCAAGUCUUUGUGAAAGGCCACUUGCUUAGGCCCAUUCUAACUAGCUUUCAGGUUCUUUUAAGAGGGGAGGUCAUAGGACCUCAAGAGAUAUACCAGAAUUCAGACUUCAACCAUGGAGCAAGGAAGAGCGACCGUGCCUCUAAACUCUAAGGGUUUUUCUUAUCUCUUUCUCCAUGUUUUAUUUUUGCUUUGUAACCAUGAUUAUGAGUAACUAAUUUUCUUUUACUAAGACACAAUGUAACCAUUUUCUAAUUAUUCAAAGCUUAGUUAUGUCAUGCUAUUAGAAUUUCCAUGUUGUUGAAAUUUAAUCACUGUGCCUAUUUUCUGAACUAAUGAUCUUGAUGCUUAGCUACAAUCUAGGGUUUUGGUUAAGUAAUUUGAUGCAUGUUAGGGUAUACGCCAUGCCUAAUACGAGUUUUGCUUUUUGUGAUUAAAUUCAUGAAUGCGCCUAAGGUAAACACCAUACUCUUAGGGGUUUGUGUGAUUGUGUCAAGUUCUCAUUGAACCUAAGGUCUUUUUAUAUGUUUAUAUUUAUGACUCAUGCCAAGGAUAAAUUGCGUGUAAGAAGAAGUAGUAAUUGCUGUGAAAAGAGUUAAUCAUAUUUUUGGAGAACUAAUCAUCAACAUAACUUGGGAAUUUUGAUAGUAUGCAUGCUAAGGUUUGGAUAAGAGGAAUUAUGGUGAAAUUGUUGUCCUGGUAAGCUUCUUUAAAAUCUUUCACAAACUUAUUUAGUUCACGUUUUUCUUCGUUAUGUCUUUUAAUUUUCUUGUUUUCAACGUUCUUUUAAAGAAAAUCCUUCAAAACCAACUCUCAAAACUCCUUUAUUAAGUUUUAGUUGAGUCAUUAGUUUUAAGUCUAUUAAUUAGGGUGUCUAGAGUAAUUUAGGAUUUAAAUUAGUUUAUAAUUCACAACAACUUGAGAAUUUAUUCAGUCUCUGUGGGAACGACCUUGUACUUGCCUUGGCUAUAUUGCAUUAACCUUGUACUUGCCUUGGCAAUAUUGCAUUAACCUAUCUGAUAGCGCGUCUCGCGCGAACUUAGAAAGGGAAUCGGGUUAAAAUUCCUGAACCAGGACGUGGUGGUUGACGGCAACGUUAGGGAGUCCGGAGACGUCGGUGGGGGCCUCGGGAAGAAUUAUCUUUUCUGUUUAACAGCCUGCCCACCCUGGAAACAGCUCAGCUGGAGGUAGGGUCCAGCGGCUGGAAGAGCACCGCACGUCACAUGGUGUCCGGUGCGCCCCCGACAACCCUUGAAAAUCCGGAGGACCGAGUGUCAUUCAUGCUCGGUCGUACUCAUAACCGCAUCAGGUCUCCAAGGUGAACAGCCUCUAGUCAAUGGAACAAUGUAGGCAAGGAAAGUCGGCAAAAUGGAUCUGUAACCUCGAGAAAAGGAUUGGGUCUGAGGGCUGGGCACGGGGGUCUCAGUCCCGAACCCGGUCGGUGGACUGCUCAAGCUGCUCCAGCUGCGAAAGUGGGUCGCCGCGUGCCGGUUGGGGGACGAACUGGGAGCAUUCCUUCGGGGACUUUCCCCAGGCGUCAAACAGCCGCCUCAGAACUGGUACGGACAAUGGGAAUCCGACUGUUUAAUUAAAACAAAGCAUUGCGAUUGUGCCUACGGAUGCUAAUGCAAUGUGAUUUCUGCCAAGUGCUCUGAAUGUCAAAGUGAAGAAAUUCAACCAAGCGCGGGUAAACGGCAGGAGUAACUAUGACUCUCUUAAGGUAGCCAAAUGCCUCGUCAUCUAAUUAGUGAAGUGCAUGAAUGGAUUAACGAGAUUCCCAUUGUCCCUGUCUACUAUCUAGCAAACCACAGCCAAGGGAACGGGCUUGGCAUAAUCAGCGGGGAAAGAAGACCCUGUUGAGCUUGACUCUAGUCCGACUUUGUGAAAUGACUUGAGAGGUGUAGUAUAAGUGGGAGCUUCGGCAAAAUUGAAGUACCACUACUUUUAACGUUAUUUUACUUAUUCCGUGAAAUGGAGGCGGGGCAUCGCCCUGCUUUUUGGACCCAAGGCCAGCCUCGCAUUGCCCGAUCCGGGCAGAAGACACUGUCAAGUGGGGAGUUUGGCUGGGGCAGCACAUCUGUUAAAAGAUAACUCAGGUGUCCUAAGAUGAGUUCGACGAGAACAGAAAUCUCGUGUGGAACAAAAGGGUAAAAGCUCGUUUGAUUCUGAUUUCCAAUACGAAUACGAACCGUGAAAGCGUGGCCUAUCGAUCCUGUAGACCUUUGAAAUUUGAAGCUAGAGGUGUCAAAAAAGUUACCGCAGGGAUAACUGGCUUGUGGCAGCCAAGCGUUCAUAGAGACUUUGCUUUUUGAUCCUUCGAUGUCAGCUCUUCCUAUCAUUGUGAAGCAGAAUUCACCAAGUGUUGGAUUGUUCACCCACCAAUAGGGAACGUGAGCUGGGUUUAGACCGUCGUGAGACAUGUUAGUUUUACCCUACUGAUGACAGAAGCAUACAUUGAGAGGGGUGGCAAAGAAGGGAACAAAUGUAUUUGCUCCACAAUCGGGCCAUAGGUAAGGUGACGGUCAGUGCUGUGUCG